CCUACGGGAGGCAGCAGUGGGGGAUAUUGCACAAUGGGGGGAACCCUGAUGCAGCGACACCGCGUGGGUGAUGGAGCGUUUCGGCGCGUAAAGCCCUAUUGGCAGGGAAGAAGGAGGACGGUACCUGACCAAGAAGCCUCGGCUAACUACGUGCAAGCAGCCGCGGUACUACGGAGGGGGCAAGCGUUAUCCGGAUUUACUGGGUGUAAAGGGGGCGCAGACGGCAGCGCAAGCCAGGAGUGAAAGCCCGGGGCCCAACCCCGGGACUGCUCUUGGAACUGCGCGGCUGGAGUGCAGGAGGGGCAGGCGGAAUUCCUGGUGUAGCGGUGAAAUGCGUAGAUAUCAGGAGGAACACCGAUGGCGAAGGCGGCCUGCUGGACUGCGACUGACGUUGAGGCCCGAAAGCGUGGGGAGCAAACAGGAUUAGAUACCCUUGUAGUC
rnacentral:rRNA from 1 species